rfam:Schistosoma mansoni strain Puerto Rico chromosome W, complete genome
AUCCAUCUGAGGAGUCCGAAAUAGGACGAAACGCGCUUCCCGGAU